rnacentral:rRNA from 1 species
CCUACGGGUGGCAGCAGUGGGGAAUAUUGCACAAUGGGGGGAACCCUGAUGCAGCGACGCCGCGUGAGUGAAGAAGUAUUUCGGUAUGUAAAGCUCUAUCAGCAGGGAAGAAAAUGACGGUACCUGACUAAGAAGCCCCGGCUAACUACGUGCCAGCAGCCGCGGUAAUACGUAGGGGGCAAGCGUUAUCCGGAUUUACUGGGUGUAAAGGGAGCGCAGACGGCUGUGCAAGUCUGAAGUGAAAGGCGGGGGCCCAACCCCCGGACUGCUCUGGAAACUGUAAAGCUGGAGUGCAGGAGAGGUAGGCGGAAUUCUUAGUGUAGCGGUGAAAUGCGGAGAUAUUAGGAGGAACACCAGUGGCGAAGGCGGCUUACUGGACUGCAACUGACGUUGAGGCUCGAAAGCGUGGGGAGCAAACAGGAUUAGAUACCCGAGUAGUC